GGAGGGAGGACCUGUUGGUCCCGCCAUUAAAGAGACGGUCAACGGUCAGACCGAACCCUUAAAUAACGCCAGAGCUGUGAAAAUAGAUUUAAAGCUGUUCAAUCUAAUGGCUAUCUAGUAGCGCCAUCUAUUGACCGCAGAAAGUAUAGCACCAAGUAAUGUCUAUUUUAAUGGUUGUGUCUGUCAGAAACCGAAUUCCAUCCUUCCUUUGGCUUGUUUCCUAUUGUCUUAAUCAUACCAGUAUGUCUGGAGGGGUAGACGAUGGUGACCCUUCCCACUUCCUCACCUAGCGAAGGUUUAUUUCAAUCAAUGAAGAGAGAUCAUAUGAUGUAGUUAAUCAAGUCUUGUCGUUGAGAUAUAGCCUCAACAAGAGACAGAGACGGGCUACAGAAGAAAGAGAGGAGUGUUCAUCAGAUGACAUGUUGUUGUUGUUGUUGUUGUUGUUGUUUGUCUUCACAUCUCCUGACAGAAAUGUGGUGAAAUCCUGUUCUCUGUGCCGUUAUAUAGAGGCUUUCAUCAUGUGGUCUGUCCAACACAGUGAUAAGAGCUGUGUGUCUCGCUGGCUGAUUCACGCUCUUUCACUUCUGAAUCCCCCCCUCUGUUCUAUCGCUUUUAAUAAAUCAUCCAUUCUGGUUCUGUAAUGGAAUGCCAGUUGUAAAUAAAUCAUCCAUUCUGGUUCUGGAAUGGAAUGUCAGUUGUAAAUAAAUCAUCCAUUCUGGUUCUGUAAUGGAAUGCCAGUUGUAAAUAAAUCAUCCAUUCUGGUUCUGGAAUGGAAUGCCAGUUGUAAAUAAAUCAUCCAUUCUGGUUCUGUAAUGGAAUGCCAGUUGUAAAUAAAUCAUCCAUUCUGGUUCUGUAAUGGAAUGCCAGUUGUAAAUAAAUCAUCCAUUCUGGUUCUGUAAUGGAAUGCCAGUUGUAAAUAAAUCAUCCAUUCUGGUUCUGUAAUGGAAUGCCAGUUGUAAAUAAAUCAUCCAUUCUGGUUCUGGAAUGGAAUGUCAGUUGAUUCCAUCAGUAUAUUCGGUCGUACUUAUUUGUAAAAUGGCAGAAACUCUCAGCCUCUUACUUCUAAACGUUUUAUUUUUAAUUGAAAUCUACAGUCCGGGCUAAACGUCAUCCGAAGCAAUGCUUGCACUAUCUAAACCCACCUGGUUCCCACUGGGUAUGAUGCCGUGUUGAUGAACACUCAGGGACAAUAGGAACUACAUGAUCAGAGGUAAUAUAUAAGUAAUAUUAUCUUAAAUAAAUCAUGAUCUUCACGAAGAAAAUACAGGGUUGUUGUUUUAGUAGAACGCUGUUUGUUUUGUUGCUUCAGGGCUCAGCACUGAAUCUGUAGCACUGAAGAUUCACGCUUUACCAGGAUUUACAUUUAAGGGCCAUGUUCCUGCAGUUUGUCAGAGGGCCAAUAUGACGAGGAUCUUCAGCGCUACGGAUUGAAUCCAUCCCUCUCUUCAGUUGGUUCGUUACAGUGGCCCCUCUUAAACAUGUCCCGCCGUUGUGUUUACACCUACUGUGUGUGUGUGUGUGUGUGUGUGUGUGUGUGUGUACAUCUAUGUGGCUACAUAAUAUUGUUGUAUUAGACACCCCAGGUUUUAUUAGUGAAGGAUAUCGUGGUCAGUUGGAGAGGCUUUAUUAGUGAAGGAUAUCGUGGUCAACUAGAGAGGUUUUAUUAGUGAAGGAUAUCGUGGUCAACUAGAGAGGUUUUAUUAGUGAAGGAUAUCGUGAUCAACUAGAGAGGUUUUAUUAGUGAAGGAUAUCGUGGUCAACUAGAGAGGUUUUAUUAGUGAAGGAUAUCGUGGUCAACUAGAGAGGUUUUAUUAGUGAAGGAUGUCGUGAUCAACUAGAGGUUUUAUUAGUGAAGGAUAUCGUGGUCAACUAGAGAGGUUUUAUUAGUGAAGGAUAUCGUGGUCAGUUGGAGAGGUUUAUUAGUGAAGGAUAUCGUGGUCAGUUGGAGAGGCUUUAUUAGUGAAGGAUAUCGUUGUCAGUUGGAGAGGUUUAUUAGUGAAGGAUAUUGUGAUCAACUAGAGAGGUUUUAUUAGUGAAGGAUAUCGUGGUCAACUAGAGAGGUUUUAUUAGUGAAGGAUAUCGUGGUCAACUAGAGAGGUUUUAUUAGUGAAGGAUAUCGUGGUCAACUAGAGAGGUUUUAUUAGUGAAGGAUAUCGUGGUCAACUAGAGAGGUUUUAUUAGUGAAGGAUAUCGUGGUCAACUAGAGAGGUUUUAUUAGUGAAGGAUAUCGUGGUCAACUAGAGAGGUUUUAUUAGUGAAGGAUAUCGUGAUCAACUAGAGAGGUUUUAUUAGUGAAGGAUAACAUGGUCAACUAGAGAGGUUUUAUUAGUGAAGGAUAUCGUGGUCAACUAGAGAGGUUUUAUUAGUGAAGGAUAUUGAUCAACUAGAGAGGUUUUAU